UUUCCGUAGGUGAACCAGCGGAGGGAUCAUUACAGAGUUGCAAAACUCCCAAACCAUUGUGAACGUUACCUAUCCCGUUGCUUCGGCGGGCGGCCCGGGCCCCGCGCCCGGCGCCCCCCGGCCCCCCGUGGGCGCCCGCCGGAGGUAAACCAAACCCACGAAUUGCAUGGCCUCUCUGAGUCUUCUGUACUGAAUAAGUCAAAACUUUCAACAACGGAUCUCUUGGUUCUG
rnacentral:misc_RNA from 1 species